CCAGCCGUGCCCUUUGUGGGCAGUUAUUUAAAGCUGAGUGAAGGGUGCAGGGGCUCGGCUGCCUCCCCCUGGCUGCUGCCUCCUGCCAGCAGCACAGAGCCCUUCACUGAUUCACUGUUGUCGCAUUCCUGGGAAGCUGCACUCAGUUAAUGCAGAGAAUUAAGUGAGUUGCAAUUUCUCCAGCAAAUCUUGCAGCUUUUGUGUGUUUAACAGCAGCACUUUCACUCAGGAGAGGCCAUCUGAGGAUCAGCACCACUGGACAGUGAUUUCUCCUGCUAAAGAGUUUCUUUUGUAACCAUGUCUGAAACUCAUCUGGGUCUGAUCUCGUGUCCAGCACAGCUCUACGUCCCAGGCUGAAAAAUAUUCUUGAAAAUCCACUCAGAAGUUGCUGGACCCACAUGUUUUCUGAAGCCUGUUUUAUUUGCUGGACAGCCAGGCAGUCUGCUCUGUGGAAAAUGGGCUGCUGCAAUUUUCUGGUUGGUGUAGAUGAUUUCAGCUCUAUCAAGUAAUCCUCACUGCCUGCUUCACCACCAAGAUUUAAUGGAUCCUACUCAACAGAGUAGCUGCUGCACCACCAAUUCUCCUGGAUGUCAGAAGCACAGCCAAGCUGCUGGUGCCAUGCUGACUCUGCUGGUGACAGCAAAGUGCAAGGGCUGAUGGACAGAAGAGAAGAAACUGGACUGAUGGGUUGGGUCUGUGAUAACCAGCUCUACCAGACCGGUUUAAUAUUAACCUGGAAAAAUGCUGGGACAUCUUUUUGACAUUAAAUACCUUUCUCAAACUACCUCACUCUGGGCUGAGCCUUGUGAAGGAGUUUCUGUGCUCCAGCCCUGGUUCCCAUCCUCUUCUCACCCAGAAGGAGUGGAGAGGCUGCCAGCUCCAGCUCCAGCUCCAGCUCAGCAGCGUGGUUGGUUUCCGUGUGUCUGGGUUUCCGUGUGUCUGGGCUCCGUGGCAGUGGGCACGGCAGACACGGGGGUGAGGAUAUGAGUCUGUCCCGCCCCUGGGGACAAGCUUGGAUCGCUCAUUCAUCGGCGGGUGAGUCACUGCCCUGCCCACAGUCCCUUCCUGCGAGCAGGGUGACAG